AUUAACCAUUCUGCUUGUAUUAGUUUCCAUCACAGAAGUGACAGUUCAACAACACUGCUGAAUACACCAAAAAAAUAGUAUAGAAAUCAGUCUCGUGAACAGUAACCAAGUAACGGAUUAACCUGGCUCUGAUACCACUUGUUGGGAAUAAAAUAUUAAUUCCCACUUUACUCGGUCGUUGAACAGUAUGAAAAAUAACACAAGCAAUCGGAACACCAAAAUUUACGUGGAAAACCCUCCCAAAUUUAGAGGGAAAAACCACGGGCCACACUCCGAGAAAUAUCCACUAUAAAAAAAAUAAUGGUACACCAAAAUCUCAAGUGACCAACUUGAGAAACACCAAAAAUAGAGACGAUACAAGAACACCCUUUGGGACAAAUAUUGUACCCAACUUGAGAAACACCAAAAAUAGAGACGAUACAAGAACACCCUUUGGGACUAAUAUUGUACCCAAAGAAACCUCACAAACACUCUUAUAUAAUAUACACUCUAAUUUUUGGACACUAACUACCACUCACCAAUUUGUGAGUAACUCUCAAAAUUCUCUCUCGGAUAUAACACACAAAAGAAUUGUUUUUGUGUUGGUCCAAAUUUAGAGGGAAAAACUACGGGCCAAACUCCGAGAAAUAUCCACUAUAAAAAUAAUUGUACACCAAAAUCUCAAGUGACCAACUUGAGAAACACCAAAAAAAUAGAGACGAUACAAGAACACCCUUUGGGACAAAUAUUGUACCCAAAGAAACCUCACAAACACUCUUGUAUAAUAUAUACUCUAAUUUUUUUGGACACUAACUAUCACUCACCAAAUUGUGAGUAACUCUCAAAAUUCUCUCUCGGAUAUAACACACAAAAGGAUUGUUUUUGUGUUGGUGUGUUCCAUUUAGCUUGCUCUCCCCAAUGGCCUUUAUAUAGGCAAAGAAAGAAACAUGGUUGGUGGGGUUGGUGACCUACCAAUUUGAACACAUAAGUCGGCCAGCACCUUUUCACAUGGUUGAUGAGGUUGGUGACUUACCAAUUUGAACACAUAAGUCGGCUAGCACCUUUUCACAUGGUUAAUGGGGUUGGUGACCUACCAAUUUGAACACAAAAUUGUGGCUGCACCUUUUCACAUGGUUGAGAGAUUAUUCAA
rnacentral:lncRNA from 1 species